rnacentral:ncRNA from 1 species
CUGGGUCAAAUGCAGUAGGUGAUCGAACCGGACCCAAAAUGAAAGGAGAGAUACUGCCCAGGCGAAAGCCUAAAACUGCCCUUUGACGGCCACACGCGGACGCUGCUUGCAUGGCGGGCUAUUGCGCUAACCCGUUUCAUGCGUGGGGCCAAAGUAGUUUAGAAGCGCACCGACACCACAACUAUGCGGAGGGCGAAUACCAUUUAUGACCAGC